rnacentral:rRNA from 1 species
GAUGAACGCUGGCGGCGUGCCUAAUACAUGCAAGUCGAGCGAACAGACGCUGCUCUUGCUCCUCUGACGUUAGCGGCGCGCGUGUGAAUCACACGUGUAUAACCUACCUAUCAUACUGGUAUCACUUCGGGACACCGGCUCUUAUCCCAGAUAAUAUCUUGCACCGCAUUGUUCAUUAGUGAAAUACGGUUUUUCUGUCACUUCUCGAUGGAUCCGCGCCGCAUUAGCUAGUUGUUACGUUCACGGAUUACCAAGGCUACGAUGCGUAGCCGACCUGAGAGGGUGAUAGGCCACAAUGGAACGGAGACACGGUCCAGACGCCUAAGGGAGGCAGCAGAAGGGAAUGUGACGCAAUGGGCGAAAGUUUGACGGAGCAACGCCGCGUGAGUGAUGAAGGUCUUCGGAUCGUAAAACUCUGUUAUGAGGGAAGAACAAAUGUGUAAGGAACUAUGCACGGAGUGACGGUACCUAAUCAGAAAGCAACGGCUAACUACGUG